UGCAAGUCGAACGGUCUUUCUAUGGAAGCUUGCUUCCACUGAGAAGAUAGUGGCGAACGGGUGAGUAACACGUGGGUAACCUGCCCAUAAGAGGGGGAUAACAUCCGGAAACGGGUGCUAAUACCGCACUAGUUUUCUUGAUCGCAUGAUCGGGAAAGGAAAGACGGCCUUUGUGCUGUCGCUUAUGGAUGGACCCGCGGCGUAUUAGUUAGUUGGUGAGGUAACGGCUCACCAAGACGAUGAUACGUAGCCGACCUGAGAGGGUGAUCGGCCACAUUGGGACUGAGACACGGCCCAAACUCCUACGGGAGGCAGCAGUAGGGAAUCUUCCGCAAUGGACGAAAGUCUGACGGAGCAACGCCGCGUGAGUGAAGAAGGUUUUCGGAAUCGUAAAACUCUGUUGUCAGAGAAGAACAAGUUGGAGAGUAACUGCUCCAGCCUUGACGGUAUCUGACCAGAAAGCCACGGCUAACUACGUGCCAGCAGCUGC
rnacentral:rRNA from 1 species